ACCCUUGUGUUCUAUUGGUGAAUGUGGCUCUAUACAUACAUCUGGUCGUCCAUAAGUCAGCAUUAGGUUAAUAGGUUUACUUAGGUAAGCAUUUACUUUGGUCUGUUUUAGUCGAGCCUCUUAUCUCUCACGAGCAAAGUAGCUUGGCAACAUUAGCAUACUGUAGGGUCAACCUGCAGCCAGAGAGUCAAUUCUUUUUGACACUCGGUUCACAGACUAAAUGCUUGUGGGGGAUUGAUAUACACAAUCCUUUCUGAUAUAGUCGAGUCCUUCUGAUAUCGUUUCCAGAAGGUUUUAUCACGCAGAUACCGUCGUAGUCUUAACCAUAAACUAUGCCGACUAGGGAUUGGAUGGUGUUAUUAUUUUGACCCAUUCAGCACCUUACGAGAAAUCAAAGUUUUUGGGUUCUGGGGGGAGUAUGGUCGCAAGGCUGAAACUUAAAGAAAUUGACGGAAAGGCACCACCAGGCGUGGAGCCUGCGGCUUAAUUUGACUCAACACGG
rnacentral:rRNA from 1 species